rnacentral:lncRNA from 1 species
CUGGGCACAGAGCAAUCCCAGCCCUCUGGGCUGUCCCACUGGGGGGGUGGAGGGGAGUUGACCCUGCUGGGAUGGGAUCCUCCUGCCUGGGCUGCUCGGAUGAGAGCUCCGUGUCCCAAUCUCUGCUGCUACCGUCGGGGUCAUGCUGUGUCUGAAGCAAGACGAGAGGUGCCCCAAGACAACACCUGAACACACUGGCUGUGCCUCCUAAAUGCCUUACAGAUCAGCGUGCCCAGCACAGCAGCUCCAUGACAGAAGCAGCAAUAGAUGGGGCUCAGCUCCCGAGAGCUCCUGCUAACGGAGCCCCUCCCCCAUGCAGUGCAUAAGAUGCUACACAAAAUACACCCCAGGUGCUGCUGCUGCUCCGUUUGUCACCGUUCCAUUUCAGUAUUCCCAGAUGAUUUUCACCCUGGGGAAAAGCCAGAGUCCCCCACCCCAGGCAGGCGCAGCGGGAGCAGCCAUCCUCCCCCAGCAAGAGGGCUGCACGCCUCAGGAAACUCAUCCCAAAGCCUCAGCAGACUGCACAGCCCUCCCAGUUAGCAGCAAGGGACCCAAAGUCACGAGAACGCAUUCGCACCGUUGGCGUCAUCUGCCUCCCAAACCACAGUUCUGCACAGGAAGGGAACGAGCCGCCCGCAAGCACCGGAUGCGCGCCGUACUCACGUUCAUCUUCCAGAGCCGCCCUCCUCUUUCAAGCCAUUUUGUGAGAAAGCCCCGUCGCUCACCGCCGCCUACGGCAUCGCUGCCUGCGUGCCCUGCAAGGACCCGGGCUCCAGAGCAGCCCUUAAUCCAUCCAGCACCAAAGCUCCGGGCUCAGCCCUGCAGCUGCGGGAUGCCCGGUGCCACCAAGGCGCUCCCCUCGGCUCCAGCCCGCGACGGACGGAGGUCCCCAGGCAGUGCGGAGCUCUCCAAAGCCGUCCCUUUUACGUUCUCCGACCUUGCGAGGAAAAUCCUGUCUCGUUUGAAUUAUUCAUCAUACUUUCUGUUCUGCCAGCUCCGGCAUACGUUCUGAAUCAUUAAUAUGUCAUGACUUCUUAUCUCUGUUUUUCUUUUUGACUUUUAUCUUCUCUCCUCCUUGAAAAAUAACGCGAUCACCGCUGUGUUAAUUAGCAUCCAUCUGAUUUACCAAAUCAAAAGCCGUCUCCGUCCUGAUGCACACCCUUCCUUGUGGGAAAUACCACUUUAACAGCUCUGGGAACUGGGCUAGCGCUGGCUGGUUCUAUCUAAAGCACUGCAAAACAUGUUUGGAUUUCACUUUUUGGCAGCGUUUCCUGAGCCUGCAAGCCGGUCUGGUGAUGGAAAGCCGGGUAGGCUUCCAGGAUCAUAAAAGAAGAACAAGGUAACGGCGCUGGGAGUGCUGUCAGACAGCUCGUUUUCCUCCUUUAUAAGCAGAGCUGAUGGCAAACCACUCCAAGCCACGGGCAGCAAGGGCAGCAGGGCCGGCUUGGCUCAGUGCUGCACUACCGCAGUGGGGACACAGCUGCUGCCAACAGCGGGAGCUGACCCUACAGCAUGCACCUGGACUCACACCUGUCCUAUGGGGCCCGUUGGACUUUGGGAAAGCAGUGAACCACCCCCUGAAUCCUCCCUGCCCCGGCUUGGCUCUCCCUUAUUAAUUUUGAGUCGGAUCCAACAAGCAGCCCUUCCCACAGCUCCUGGCUGGCAGAGCUGCAUUGCCCACCCCGUUCUCCAAAGAGCUAAAUGACAUUUCAGCGGCAGGAAGCUCCUGCCAAUAACAUCACAGCCCGGCCUCGUUGCUUUCAUGAGCCCCUCCAUUAGGCUCCGUGCUGGAGGUGGCUCCAAGAGGAGCCAGGGCUGGGGCUCAGCCCGGCCCCAGUGCCUGCAAUCAGGGCUGGGAGCGGACGUAACCCACCCCGUUCCCAACACAUUCCUUUCUGUACAGAUUUGACAUAGGAACCGCACCCGGUUUCAUAAAUAAAUGCAGCGGGAACCUGAACUAUUCAGCCCGCUGACCUGAAGUUGGUUCUGAAGUUAAUAAUUCAUUCACGUGAGCUGGGAUGGAGGUUUCUAAUUCAGCUCAUUUCAGAAGUCGAGAGGAGGAAGAAACACAUCGCAGAAGUUAACUUAUCCUGGGGAGUCAGAGCAUCCCAGGUAACAGCAGCAGGAUGGGAGGUGAUGGCCUCACCUUGCACCAGGGGAGGGUCAGGCUGGGUAUUAGGAAACAUUUCUUCUCCCA